GCGCCGGUUGCCAAACAGCGGCAGGGAUGGCGAGCCGCGGGGCCGAGGUGGUGACGAUAGCAGCAGUUCCGCCAUUGGACGAGGAGGCCUGAGGGACGGGCCAGCGUGGUGAACAAGGAGAGACCGAGGCGGGUGGCCCCGAGAGAGCGAGGGCAAUGGAGGCCAACAUGCCGAAGCGGAAGGAGGCUGCCAAGUCCCUGCGCAUCAAAGUCAUCUCCAUGGGCAACGCCGAAGUGGGAAAAAGCUGUAUUAUAAAGCGAUAUUGUGAGAAAAGAUUUGUGUCUAAAUAUCUUGCAACAAUUGGAAUUGACUAUGGAGUCACAAAGGUACAAGUCAGAGACCGAGAAAUCAAAGUUAACAUCUUUGAUAUGGCUGGACAUCCCUUCUUCUACGAGGUUCGUAAUGAGUUUUACAAGGACACACAGGGUGUGAUACUGGUCUAUGACGUUGGGCAGAAAGACUCCUUUGACGCCCUUGAUGCAUGGCUGGCAGAAAUGAAGCAAGACCUUGGACCUCAUGGAAACAUGGAAAAUAUUGUAUUUGUAGUGUGUGCCAACAAGAUCGAUUGUACCAAGCACCGCUGUGUUGAUGAAAGUGAGGGGCGUCUUUGGGCCGAAAGCAAAGGGUUCCUGUACUUUGAAACUUCAGCACAAACUGGAGAAGGAAUUAACGAGAUGUUCCAGACCUUUUAUGUAUCCAUAGUUGAUUUAUGUGAAAAUGGCGGGAAACGUCCUAUCACGAAUAGCAGUGCUAGUUUCACCAAAGAACAAGCAGACACCAUUCGCAGAAUUCGAAAUAGUAAAGAUAGUUGGGACAUGUUGGCAGUCAAACCUGGAGCCUCAAGGGAUGAAGUCAAUAAAGCAUAUCGGAAGCUUGCUGUGCUGCUUCACCCUGACAAAUGUGUAGCGCCCGGUAGUGAAGAUGCCUUCAAAGCAGUCGUGAAUGCCCGGACAGCCCUCCUGAAAAACAUCAAGUAGAAAGUAGAAAACAAGACAAGUGCUGGCCUCAAGUACAAACAGACUUUCCCUAGAGGUAAUCUCAGGAGGCGCUGGAAUGUCACUCGCUUCUCCGCUCGCUCCAUCUAGCUCACUCUGCGUCUGCCAACGUUUUCAUGAAAGUUUUUAAAAAGGAAUUCAGCUGCAACAUAUAGCUAAUCACCUUCCAUUGCAAGUUUUGCAAAGUGAAGAGAGGUUCAGGCUUUUCAUGAUGGAUAUUUAGCACAAUUGUAAGACAUAUUAAUUCUGUUUGUACAUUGGUUUUUUCCAUUAAACAUUUCUAGAGAAGAUAGAAGCUUAAACUUGUGGUGUAAGUUAGAUUGUGUCUAACAAGCAGUGCAAUAGUAAGCUGUGCACUAAAGGCCUUGUUGGUGAAAUAACUUGGAAGGUUGGACAGUUUGGGUUAGCUUCCUGCAUUGAUUGCUCUCGGGGCAUUCUUCCCCUUGGCCUAUGAAUGCAGAGUUUCUAAAGAAACCCUUUGCUCUUACGAGGUAAUUUGCGUAUUUGCUUUCUGUUGAAAUAACUGAAAAUGUUAAAUCUAACAAUUGUUUAUGUCUUGUAUAGAGAGUGUCAUAUGUAUUUAAGUUGUGUAUUUUUAUAAAGUAAAGCCAAAUAUCAAACA